rnacentral:misc_RNA from 1 species
GAUGAAGAACGUAGCGAAAGGCGAUAAGUAAUGUGAAUUACAGAAUUCAGUGAAUCAUCGAAUCUUUGAACGCACAUUGCGCCCCUUGGUAUUCCGAGGGGCAUGCCUGUUCGAGCGUCAUUAUAACCCCUCAAGCUCAGCUUGGUGUUGGGGCCUGCUGCACUGGCAGCCCUUAAAAUCAGUGGCGGCGCCAUCUGGCUCUAAGCGUAGUAAUUCUUCUCGCUAUGGAGUCCUGGUGGAUGCUUGCCAUCAACCCCCAAUUUUUCUAUGGUUGACCUCGGAUCAGGUAGGGAUACCCGCUGAACUUAAGCAUAUCAAUAAGCGGAGGA